rnacentral:rRNA from 1 species
AGUUCUCCCUGACCCUUUAAGGUCCUGAAGGAACGUUGAAGACGACGACGUUGAUAGGCCGGGUGUGUAAGCGCAGCGAUGCGUUGAGCUAACCGGUACUAAUGAACCGUGAGGCUUAACCUU